ACGUACGCUGGCGGCACGCCUAACACAUGCAAGUCGAACGAAGUAGCAAUACUUAGUGGCAGACGGGUGAGUAACAUGUAGGUAUCUGCCCUUUGGCCUGGAAUAACACGAGGAAACUUGUGCUAAUACCGGAUAAGUCUUUACGGAGAAAGCUUUAUGCACCAUUGGAUGAGCCUGCACUUGAUUAGUUUGUUGGUGGGGUAAUGGCCUACCAAGACUUUGAUCAAUAGCUGAUUUGAGAGGAUGAUCAGCCACAUUGGGACUGAGACACGGCCCAAACUCCUACGGGAGGCAGCAGUGGGGAAUCUUGCACAAUGGAGGAAACUCUGAUGCAGCGAUGCCGCGUGAGUGAAGAAGGCCCUUGGGUUGUAAAGCUCUUUCGUCGGGGAAGAAAAUGACUGUACCCGAAUAAGAAGGUCCGGCUAACUUCGUGCCAGCAGCCGCGGUAAUACGAAGGGACCUAGCGUAGUUCGGAAUUACUGGGCUUAAAGAGUUCGUAGGUGGUUGAAAAAGUUGGUGGUGAAAUCCCAGAGCUUAACUCUGGAACUGCCAUCAAAACUUUUCAGCUAGAGUUUGAUAGAGGAAAGCAGAAUUUCUAGUGUAGAGGUGAAAUUCGUAGAUAUUAGAAAGAAUACCAAUUGCGAAGGCAGCUUUCUGGAUCAUUACUGACACUGAGGAACGAAAGCAUGGGUAGCGAAGAGGAUUAGAUACCCUCGUAGUCCAUGCCGUAAACGAUGUGUGUUAGACGUUGGAAAUUUAUUUUCAGUGUCGCAGCGAAAGCGAUAAACACACCGCCUGGGGAGUACGACCGCAAGGUUAAAACUCAAAUGAAUUGACGGGGACCCGCACAAGUAGUGGAGCAUGUGGUUUAAUUCGAAGAUACGCGCAGAACCUUACCAACACUUGACAUGUUCGUCGCGACUCUAAGAGAUUAGAGUUUUCGGUUCGGCCGGACGAAACACAGGUGCUGCAUGGCUGUCGUCAGCUCGUGUCGUGAGAUGUUGGGUUAAGUCCCGCAACGAGCGCAACCCUCACUUUUAGUUGCCAUCAUUAAGUUGGGCACUCUGAAAGAACUGCCAGUGAUAAGCUGGAGGAAGGUGGGGAUGACGUCAAGUCCUCAUGGCCCUUACGUGUUGGGCUACACACGUGCUACAAUGGUAUCUACAACAGGAAGCAAGGCGGCGACGUCAAGCAAAUCCUUAAAAGAUACCUCAGUUCGGAUUGCACUCUGCAACUCGAGUGCAUGAAGCUGGAAUUACUAGUAAUCGUGGAUCAGCGUGCCACGGUGAAUGCGUUCCCCGGGUCUUGUACACACCGCCCGUCAAG
rnacentral:rRNA from 1 species